AUUGCCCCAGUAACGGCGAGUGAAGCGGCAACAGCUCAAAUUUGAAAUCUGGCUCUCGGGCCCGAGUUGUAAUUUGUAGAGGAUGCUUUUGGUGAGGUGCCUUCCGAGUUCCCUGGAACGGGACGCCAUAGAGGGUGAGAGCCCCGUCUGGUUGGACACCGAUCCUCUGUAAAGCUCCUUCGACGAGUCGAGUAGUUUGGGAAUGCUGCUCUAAAUGGGAGGUAUAUGUCUUCUAAAGCUAAAUACCGGCCAGAGACCGAUAGCGCACAAGUAGAGUGAUCGAAAGAUGAAAAGAACUUUGAAAAGAGAGUUAAACAGUACGUGAAAUUGUUGAAAGGGAAGCGCUUGUGACCAGACUUGGGCUUGGUUGAUCAUCCGGGGUUCUCCCCGGUGCACUCUUCCGGCUCAGGCCAGCAUCAGUUCACCCUGGGGGACAAAGGCUUCGGGAAUGUGGCUCUCUCCGGGGAGUGUUAUAGCCCGUUGCGUAAUACCCUGUGGCGGACUGAGGUUCGCGCAUUCGCAAGGAU
rnacentral:rRNA from 1 species